rnacentral:sRNA from 1 species
AAUCUAUGGUGGCCGGUUAAGGCCAUUUCGUGUUUUCGCCUUUCAUUUUCUAUAGGGCGCAAACGCGAAAACGCGAAAUGGCCUUAACCGCCUACCAUAUUAA